CAGCCACUAUGGAUUCAUAGCAAGGACCAGCAGGAGGAGAAUCAGGACGAAUCUGCUCAUGCGUAGAGAACCACAGGCUUCCUAAGCAACACCAGAAAGACUGUCUCCAUGUUUGUGAUCCUGGUCUCUGCAGGGAGCCCCGGGGAUCUGGAAGUGGGACAGAGAUGUGGGGAUGUAUUGGUAUCCUCCAGUCCUGCCUGGCCUUCGGGGGACAGCAUGGACAAGGGGGGUGUGCAGUGAUGGGGUGUGUGUGUGUGUGUGCCCGAAUGAGGGGUGGGGGUAGCUUUCGUUGGUGGAUGACCUCACCAUUACGGGAAACUUUCCCACAGCCUGAACACAAAGAAGGCCGUCAAAAGGUAAAAAGAAUGAGAAAGAAUAGAAAUUUAACACAGUGUGUAAAAGAAGGAAGAGCAGUUAGAGGAUGGGAAAGAGGUUGUUUCGGAGGGGGAGUCGUGUUGCCUUUACAGGGUUCAGAGAUUCUCUGGGUUGAUAGAGGUUCUGCCUUCCCCCCUCACACAGCCUGAGUCUGUCCUCAAUCUGCUGAGUCACCUAUCGCCAUUUUCUGCCCCUCCAUUUGCACUUCCUGCUGCACUUCCUGUCAGACAGCACACCAGCACCUGGUGGCAAAGUGGUUUUCACAGCCGCCGGCCAGAGCUUCUGGACAACAUCACAUUCCUGGCAUUACUUGCUGCGAAUGGUGUUUGGAAAUCCAAAGGCCGGCUUCCGUUUGGGAAUGCCUCCCUCACAGAGUCCCUCUCAGCCUCUGAUCCCUGGUCUCCUCUCAUUUUAUUUGAGUUAGCUAUUUAAAGCCCGUGCUAAGUACGCUGCUGGCUGUAACGGGGGUGGGGGAGCAAACACACACACACUCCGUCUCACACGCUAAAACCACAACGACCCACAAAUAAUCCCACUCCUAUUUUUAAGUUAGUGGGCUGAGGGGGGAUAGUGCCUGCAGGGCUGCCUGAAGAAAAUUACAGAUUUUCCUUUAGUUUUCAUGUUAUGCUUAAAAUAAAAGCUGAUCAGAGCAAAACUAAAGUAACAUCACUAAAUAUUUACUUUUGGACAGUUCUAAAGUGAAUCAAUGAUUUAAAAAAAAAAACUUCAGAGGGACUGCUUCAUUUACCAGCUUGAGGAGCAGUGAUGAUUUAGUAAGCUUUUGAAACUUAAAACAGUUGCCUAUUUUUACACACAGUAAUUUCUCAAUGUAUUUGACAAAGAAGCACAGUUUAAAGGUAAGUUUAUUGAAAAGCGCAUUUUUACUGGACAAACAUUUUUUUUUAGGAACAAGAGUAGUUUCCCAGAACAUUUUAAUUACUUUGUCUGCUUUUUAAAUGCAUUUUCAUUCAGGAGUACAAAACAGAGUCAUUUAACCAGAAUACUAAAGGCAUCACCAAAACAAUUUAUUAACAGACUCAAAACCUAUUUGUAUAAUCAUCUACCCACAAUUAGUCACUUUAUCUAUUAAAUUGGCAGUGUUAUGUCUUUUCCAGGCACAUAGGGGCAUUUAUGGCACUUUUUGCAUAUAAUCUUUCUCAGAUAAUGAAAUUUAACCUGCUCAGUUCUGCCUAUUUUGAACCUCUUUCAGACUAAGCAGUUUCAGAGCCUCUUGUCACUUUAAAUCCAAACAAGCUGCUGCUGGUCACCCCCCAUCACCUCCUCCCAACAUUUACACUGGCGUUUAUAUCUGUGAAAAUAGCUGCAGACAGAUGCACAAUUGUACAAUGGUCCAACUUCGAAACCUGAGUGAGACCCAAAAGCAGAAAAAGUGGAGUCUCCUGCACAACGAUCAAGGAUCCAGGAGCAGUUUCUGAAUGGUAAGUAAAAAACAAAACACUUGUCUUUUCCAGCAGCCAUUGUACAAUGCAUACAACAAUAAAACCAGCUGACCAAAAGCGCUUGACCUCUGCUUGGGUUGCUAGGUGAGUUGGACUGGUUUGCUAAGUAGCAGUGCAGUCCACCGAUUGUGACUUAAUAUCCGGGAAGUUGUCAAAACAGCUUGUUCUCCUAGACACAAAAGGACAACUUUCAUAUUGCCAUAAAACAGCUAAAUGCUUUUACUUAGGAAUUUGAUUGUUUCUAGAAACAGUAGCGUUCCACAUGAAAGAAAACAAAAACGCACAAAGUGAAUUUUCUACAACAGGUCCCCUUUAAGGUUUGAAAUAGCACCAGACCUUUAUAAAGUAAAGCCUGCAAGAUGUGCCAUUUUGGAAGAAUAACUACACACUCAUGCUGCAGCAGUGUUUUUGCACCAUACCAACUUAAAAUCUUUGAAAGAACAACAAUAGCAGGCAGUUGUGGUUCUUUUGAUCUGUAAUUCAGAACAUCAAUAAUUUUAAAUACUUUAACUUUGCUGGUUACAUUUUGUUAUAAAAGCUGAGAUGAAAACUCUACCCUCUGUGUGUCCAACGUCAUGGAGUUGUGAAAGCGGAAAUCUGUAUUUUCCUUCAUAAAAUGUUUCCACUAACGUUGGUGUAUUGUAUAAAAGUCUUUGUAUGCAAACCAUGUAAAACACUGUGAUUUGAAGCAUGGUCGGUUGGGUCUAAUUGUUUUGUUUGCAAACAAGAAUAAAGAACUUCUCUUGUG